UUGAAAUGCUGAUCAUGCAGGGAGCUCAGAACAAUGUGAUGAAUCGUGGGGAUAAUACCCCCCCCCCAGCACCUAGCAGCUAGUCAUGGACACCGUGACAUUGUACAGAAGCUGUUGCAAUACAAGACUGUCAUCAAUACAGUGAAUGAGCACGGCAAUGUGCCACUUCACUAUGCAUGUUUCUGGGGCCAAGACCAGGUGGCAGAGGACCUGGUGGCUAACAGGGCUCUUGUGAGCAUCUGUAACAGGUAUAGAGAGAUGCCUGUGGACAAAGCCAAGGCACCCCUUAGAGAGCUUCUCUGAGAACAGGCAGAGAAGAUGGGCCAGAAUCUCAACCAUAUUCCAUACAAGGACACAUUCUGGAAGGGGACCACUCGCACAAGGCCCUGAAAUGGGACCCUGAACAAACACUCCGGUAUUGACUUCAAACAGCUCAACUUUCUGGAAAAGCUCAACAAGAAUCAUUCUGGAGAGCUAUGGAAAGGCCGCUGGCAGGGCACUGAUAUUGUUGUGAAGGUGCUGAAGGUUCAAGACUGGAGUACAAGGAAGAGCAGGGACUUCAAUGAGGAAUGUCCCCGGCUCAGGAUUUUCUCACAUCCAAACGUGCUCCCAGUGCUAGGUGCUUGCCAGGCUCCCCCAGUCCCCCACCCAACCCUCAUCACACACUGGAUGCCAUAUGGAUCUCUCUACAAUGUUCUACAUGAAGGCACCAAUUUCGUUGUGGACCAGAGCCAAGCUGUAAAGUUUGCUUUGGACAUGGCAAGAGGCAUGGCUUUUCUUCACACACUAGAGCCUCUCAUACCUUGGCAUGCACUCAAUAGCCGCAGUGUAAUGAUCGAUGAAGAUAUGACUGCCCGAAUCAGCAUGACUGAUGUUAAGUUUUCUUUCCAGUGCCCUGGGCGCGUGUAUGAGCCUGCCUGGGUGGCCCCUGAAGCCCUGCAGAAGAAGCCUGAAGACACAAACAGACGCUUAGCAGACGUGGAGUUUUGCGGUGCUUCUGUGGGAACGGUGACACGAGAGGUGCCCUUUGCUGACCUCUCUAAUAUGGAAAUUGGAUUGAAGGUGGCACUGGAAGGCCUUCGGCCUACCAUCCCACUGGACAUUUCCCCCCAUGUGUGUAAGCUCAUGAAGAUUUGCAUGAAUGAAGACCCUGCAAAGCGACCCAAGUUUGACAUGACUGUGCCUAUCUUGGAGAAGAUGCAGGACAAGUAG